GACGAACGCUGGCGGCGUGCUUAACACAUGCAAGUCGAACGGAAAGGCCCUGCUUUUGUGGGGUGCUCGAGUGGCGAACGGGUGAGUAACACGUGAGUAACCUGCCCUUGACUUUGGGAUAACUUCAGGAAACUGGGGCUAAUACCGGAUAGGAGCUCCUGCUGCAUGGUGGGGGUUGGAAAGUUUCGGCGGUUGGGGAUGGACUCGCGGCUUAUCAGCUUGUUGGUGGGGUAGUGGCUUACCAAGGCUUUGACGGAUAGCCGGCCUGAGAGGGUGACCGGCCACAUGGGGACUGAGAUAAGGCCCAGACUCCUACGGGAGGCAGCAGUGGGGAAUAUUGCACAGUGGGCGCAAGCCUGAUGCAGCAACGCUGCGUGCGGGAUGACGGCCUUCGGGUUGUAAACCGCUUUCGCCUGUGACGAAGCGUGAGUGACGGUAAUGGGUAAAGAAGCACCGGCUAACUACGUG
rnacentral:rRNA from 1 species